rnacentral:rRNA from 1 species
AACGAACGCUGGCGGCAUGCCUAACACAUGCAAGUCGAACGAGACCUUCGGGUCUAGUGGCGCACGGGUGCGUAACGCGGGGGAACCUGCCCUUAGGUUCGGAAUAACUCCCCGAGAGGGGUGCUAAUACCGGAUAAUGUCUUCGGACCAAAGAUUUAUCGCCUUGGGAUGGGCCCGCGUUGGAUUAGCUAGUUGGUGGGGUAAAGGCCUACCAAGGCGACGGUGGAUAGCUGGUCUGGGAGGGUGAUCAGGCACAUUGGGACUGAGAUACGGCCCAGGCUGCUACGGGAGGCAGAAGGGGGGAAUGUGACACAGUGGGCGGGAGCGUGAUGCAGAAACGCCGCGUGCGGGAUGAAGGCCUUCGGGUUGUGAACCGCUUGCGCCUGUGACGGAGCGGGAAUGACGGUAAUGGGUAAAGAAGCACCGGCUAACUACGUG